CUAAAGAGGGACUGGCUUUCUGUUGAAUCCUGUUUUGUGUGUCCAAACCUUAUCAUCAUCUGAUUAAUUAAAAUGAAAUAAAAUUUUGCAAAAAAAAUAAAGGGACAUUAUUUGGUUCAGCUGGUCACUAAUCGACUGUAUGAGGGAGAAUUCGUUAAGGGUUGAUGAAUGCAGAAUCAUAUUAACUGCAAAACAGGAUAGAUACCUUCGUUUUCUAUUUCAGAGAGAUUCAUAUUAAUCUGAAAGAGUUUGAAUAACAUACAUGCUUCAGGAUUAUUCCCCCAAAUUUAUAAGCACUUUUUGGCCUUUCAUCUGAAGAUUAUCACUUGAACUUUACAAAAAAGGACUGUUUUGCUUUACUGAAAAACACCACUUUUCAACGAGUCAAAAGAUUAUGUGUACCAAUAUCAAUAUGAAGGAUGCUUUUCAACAAGCCAAUGCCUAUGUCUUCGCUGGGCAGACUUCUCUACUGAUCAAGGCGAUGUCCUACUGUUCAUGUGUAGGCACCACGAGACGAUGAGGUGCAUGUUACCUAGUGGGCAGUUAACACCAGGACUUCCUGUUGGACCCCAGGAACCUGUACUCAGCUAAUCUGCAGAAAAGAAACGCACCACAGACUCAUGCUGGGGGAAUUCUGAGACACAUCUAGGCUUACCCUCCACGUUUUCUUAUGCUUAUUUCUUUCCCCUACUAUUUAAAUUUAAUACACAGUGUAAAACAGAAGUAGACCCAGAGGUUAUCAGAUCAGGAAAACUGUCGAGUAAAUAAACCCUAUUCAUGUCCAUGAACUUACUGCUUGUUGGGUAAGAAGAUGAUGUAACUAGAUACCAUAGUAGGAUUUGUUCUGACUCACUUUAAGGACAGGUGACGAAGUAAACACUUGAUCACUGGUAAAACUGAAUUCCUGCGUAUUUAACAGGAGCAAUUAAGAUUUUAUUUGCACAAUAUUCGUACAAAAGUAAAAACCAACUGGACCCACCUUUAACCCAUAUCAGGAUGGAACAGGUCCUUUAUCGGGUGGAGAUAAAGAACUCAAGGGCAGCUGAGACACAAAGCAAAGUAGACAGAAGUGAGUCACAAAGGGUUCAGAAGGAUUUCCACCCUAUAAUUAAUACCUAGAGUCUAGCCUCUUGUGACUGCAGAUGCCAGGAAAGAGGAUUUACAGCGAGGUUGGGCACGGCUGAUGUUACAUAAGCAAGUAGGCGCCCAGUCACCCUGCCGGAUGCCGGGGCAGUGGAUGGAGCUCUGGGUCUGGGCCCUUCUCCGGUCUGAGCAGCAGCGAUUACGGAACCAGGCUCCACAGGGGGGUGGGACAGAGUGGCCGCCGUGGACCCCAGUGGAAAUGUUCCCCCGUUACUGCCUCUGGAUGGUUACUCAACGUUCGGAUGGGAGGGUGGUGUUAGGACCAAGACAGAGACCUGGAUGACCUGGUGGCAGGUUUCUAAUUGUGGAAAGCUGUCUCACCAACACACCACCAGAGUGGACGGAAGACUUUUAAACGGCUCUUUAAAAAAAUAUAUUAGGUUAAAGUUCGACAAAAAGAGAAGAGUUAUAAUCUACUCCUUGAAAAAGAAACCUACCCCAUCCUGUGACGGGGGGAGUCUGUUCAAGUAUGGUUUUAGGUGCCAGGAGAUUCUUCAAAGUGUACUUUUUACCCUUCACUGGGCCCUAUGAAUGAAGACAUUUAAUCCAAUAUCAAUAAAUCCUAAUUAGCUAGAA